UACGGAGGAUCCGAGCGUUAUCCGGAUUCAUUGGGUUUAAAGGGUGCGUAGGUUGUUUUAUAAGUUAGCGGUGAAAUACCGAUGCUCAACAUCGGGGCUGCCGCUAAUACUGUAGGACUAGAGAUCGGAUGCAGCAGGCGGAAUGUGUAGUGUAGCGGUGAAAUGCAUAGAUAUUACACAGAACACCGAUUGCGAAGGCAGCUUGCUAGGCCGAAUCUGACACUGAUGCACGAAAGCGUGGGGAUCGA
rnacentral:rRNA from 1 species